CGCUUCCUACGAAUUCAAGCCAAAUCCUGAUGUAGACGAACGUUGGGAACGCUUUAAGGUAAAAUUUCGAAAAACGUAUGCUAGUGAUGCUGAAAAACUGAAAAGACGGGAAAUUUGGGAGAAGAACCUCACCGACAUCGACAAACACAAAGAAGAGUACAAGGAAGGCAAACAUUCCUACACGCUGGGAGAGAACAAAUACGCUGACAUGACAAAAGAUGAAUGGAAAAAUCAUUUCAAGGGGAAGAGACCUUCAAAGAAACCGAAAAAAAAAGACUGCUUAAUGACACGUUCAGCGACUGCAAGGAGGGAGUCGGUCCUUUCCAUGUCCCAUCGUCUCAUUCUCGGCCCUUUACAUCACCGUCUUGCAUCAGAACACGUCCCUCAUUCAGCCAGCAAACACUGCAUUUUUUGCCGUUUUCAGACAGAUCGCAAUGUCGUUCAUCAUCUAAAAGAAUAACCUGCGAUAAUUUUCGGACACUUGGCAAUCUAUACAUUGAACCACCGGAUACCAAAUUUCGUCUCCUGGCGGGAUUCCUUUUUCUGCACUAGACAGAGAAGAUGCUGGUAUAAAGUUGCCCGAUUUAUUUUAAGGCCAACUGAAGUUCGAAAUGCACCGUACGUUACUCCGUCAGAUGACGAAACAUUUGCUUGCCUGUCUGAAAAUGGCUAGGGUAUUAUAAAUACGUU